GGAGUCAGGCAUGUGACGUAAGCGCGGUGGGCGGUGCGAACGCAAAGCGGAAAAGCUGAUGAAGGUAACACAGGUACGGGACUGUGUGAAGGUGUGUCUGCUGUCGAUGUACAAAUCUUCCCGAUGUUAUAAAGCAGCCAGGCACCUAAUAAUACCUACGCCAGACUGAGCGCGCUGAUCUUUUUCUAAAGAGGACAUCAGGAUGAAGAACGAGGGAGAGGCAACUGAACGGCCUGACAACACGGCAUUCACUCAGCAAUGGCUCCCGGCAUGGCAGCCCAUACUGUCCGCUGGCAUCGUCAUUCCUGGCUUUCUAAUCAUUGGUUUGGCUUUCAUAGGCAUUGGAAUUGGCCUCUU